GCUUCAAUGGCUCAGUUGGCUAGAGCGCAGGUCUCAUAUGAGAAUAUGACACAAUAUGAUUGUGUAAUCCUGAGGUCGCAAGUUCGAGCCUUGCUUGGAGCA
rnacentral:tRNA from 1 species